UACAUACAUAUGUAUUUAAGUUUUAAGUUAUCCCCGCAAACAUAUUCUGAACGCUCAGAAUAUAUGAGUCGGAAAGGAGUCCUAGGUAAGUAAGAAAUAU